AAACCGCGUUACGUAGUGUGAUGCGCAGAACCUUCGUGAUCCAUCGAAUUUUCGAACGCAUUAGCACUGUGGGCGAAAUCCCUCAGUGGGUAAGAAUCAGCGCAGGAUAAAUUAUCAAACGCCACUGUUUUUCUUCAUUUUGCAUGAAGAAAUCUAGUGAAUGAUGGCCCUGUCUUUUAUAGACACGUGCGUUACAAUCUUUAGCGUGGCCUCCAAACUGCAGCCGCUAGGCCGUAGCACGCUUAAGAUUGCACGGGUUCUUUAAUAAGAAAGUACUCGGCUUAAAUUACAUGGAAAAAACCCUAGAUCUCCCGCCUGAUUUUUGCCAGACUACCCGCUGAAUUUAA
rnacentral:misc_RNA from 1 species